rnacentral:rRNA from 1 species
AAACAACAGGAUUGCCUUAGUAGCGGCGAGUGAAGCGGCAAAAGCUCAAAUUUGAAAUCUGGCACUUUCAGUGUCCGAGUUGUAAUUUGAAGAAGGUAUCUUUGGGUCUGGCUCUUGUCUAUGUUUCUUGGAACAGAACGUCACAGAGGGUGAGAAUCCCGUGCGAUGAGAUGACCCAGACCUAUGUAAAGUUCCUUCGAAGAGUCGAGUUGUUUGGGAAUGCAGCUCUAAGUGGGUGGUAAAUUCCAUCUAAAGCUAAAUAUUGGCGAGAGACCGAUAGCGAACAAGUACAGUGAUGGAAAGAUGAAAAGAACUUUGAAAAGAGAGUGAAAAAGUACGUGAAAUUGUUGAAAGGGAAGGGCUUGAGAUCAGACUUGGUAUUUUGUAUGUUACUCUUUCGGGGGUGGCCUCUACAGUUUACCGGGCCAGCAUCAGUUUGGGCGGUAGGAGAAUUGCAAAGAAAUGUGGCACUGCCUCGGUAGUGUGUUAUAGUCUUUGUCGAUACUGCCAGCCUAGACUGAGGACUGCGGCUUCGGCCUAGGAUGUUGGCAUAAUGAUCUUAAGUCGCCCGUCUUGAAACACGGACCAAGGAGUCUAACGUCUAUGCGAGUGUUUGGGUGUAAAACCCGUACGCGUAAUGAAAGUGAACGUAGGUAGGACCUCCUUUAGGAGUGCACUAUCGACCGAUCCUGAUGUCUUCGGAUG